ACGUAUAUACGAUGAGCAAGUACGGUGCAUACAAACGUAUGCUGAAAAGGGAAGAACGGUGCAAAGCCGUCGCGGUACCCGCCACUGUGAUGGGGAGUUUCGUUGCAACGUGCCACUGAUUUUUGGGAAGGCGCAACGAAAUGAUGAACCUAAGCCAGGAGACCUGCCUGCUUGCGAUACGUCGGC
rnacentral:ncRNA from 20 species